GGGGACGUAGCUCAGCUGGGAGAGCAUCGGCUUUGCAAGCCGAGGGUCGAGGGUUCGAGCCCCUUCGUCUCCACCA
rnacentral:tRNA from 3 species